UGUGUCCACCCCGCCUGUGUCCACCUCCCUUACUCCACCAGUGUCUGGCCUCCAGAAGAAAAGAAAAUCAUGUAGGAAUGCAGACAUUAGUGAAUGCCCCAUUCAUCAAGGUCUAAGCGUUUUCCCCUACAAAAGGAUUCUGAGGCAAAGACUCAGAGAGGGUUGUGUCGAGGUGUUGGUGGAGUGGCAACCUUGCUCUGGAU